rnacentral:piRNA from 1 species
CAGACACCCACUGAACAUUUUCAUGAUGAU